rnacentral:rRNA from 1 species
GACGAACCGUGCAAACGUUGUUCGGAAUCACUGGGCUUAAAGGGCGCGUAGGCGGGCAAGCAAGUCGAAGGUGAAAUCCCACGGCUCAACCGUGGAAGUGCCCCGAUACUGCUUGUCUUGAGGGAGAUAGGGCGUGCGGAACUUCCGGUGGAGCGGUGAAAUGCGUAGAUAUCGGAAGGAACACCGGUGGCGAAAGCGGCGCGCUGGACUCUCUUCU